UAACAUUCCAGCUGCAGAGAUCACUCAUGCAUAUGCAUAGUCCUCCAGGAGCAGAAAAGGCAGGAUUAUUGCAUGUGUCUGAAAGUCUUAAUUAACAGACUUCAGCAGGGUGAAUGCAAAAUGAAUACUAAUCUGCACUGGACUUCAACCUGCCUGGAAGCAGAAUUUGGGUUUUCUUUUCUUCUUCUGAUCCACUUGAAUGAAUGGAGUCAACAGCAGAGAAUAUGAGCUUUUUUUAACAGAUGAAGUGCAGAAAGGCAUUUAAUUAAAUUAAAGCUCGGAAAAUGUUAAA